rnacentral:rRNA from 1 species
GCAAAGAUUACCCCUUGUACCUUUGCAUAAUGAAUUAACUAGUAUAAGACUUAACAAAAUGAAUUUUAGCUAAGCAGCCCGAAACCAGACGAGCUACUCACAAACAGUUUACCAAGAACUAACUCAUCUAUGUGGCAAAAUAGUGAGAAGAUUUGUAAGUAGAGGUGACAUGCCUAACGAGCCUGGUGAUAGCUGGUUGUCCAGAAAAUGAAUCUAAGUUCAGCUUUAAAGAUACCAAAAAUUCAAAUAAACCCCACUGUAGCUUUAAAAGUUAGUCUAAAAAGGUACAGCCUUUUAGAAACGGAUACAACCUUGACUAGAGAGUAAAAUUUAACACUACCAUAGUAGGC